rnacentral:lncRNA from 10 species
GCAGAGUUGAGAACCACUGAAUUCUGUUCUGAAAACAUCAGCAAGACCUUUCAUGGAUAUUAUAGGCUUCAGGCUCGAGACAGAGAGGAACCGCCUCUGUGUUUUUCACUGUCGUGUCUCAGUGCUGGGAGUGUACUCCAUGUGGUCAGUGUGUGAUCAAUUUAACUGUGCCUGAGGGUUCUGAGAAGACCUCACAAAUGAAGCCGGCCCUCCUCGUCUUCCUGGAGCGCAGCACAAAGGUCCUGUUGUGGCCGCGGCCCGGGCCGCGGGCGAGCCUCUCUGGAUGGUGGUGACUCAGUCUCUUGCCAUUUCCUUUGUGCGGCUCCGGGGCUCCUCGCUGGGAGCGGAGUGUGUCUGCAGGGCUGGGGGCGGGAGCCGGGACCCACAGCCCGACAGCGAGCCUUUCAUGUGGGCAGGGGGCUUCCCGCACGCAAUGCGAACCUACGCCUGGAGCUUCCCAAAGACAGCGUCCGGCGCAGGAACGCGAGAUGCUGGCCGCCUCGCCUCUGGCCCCCGCGAGCAUCAAAGCGCGUGCCGUCGAGGGGGCACGUGUCCCCCAUCGGGCGCGCCUCUGCUCCUAGUCCCCUGAAUGAACACAUCCUUAUGAAAAGUGGAAAUUAGCCGCCGAAGGGAAGGGCCCGGAGAGCUUGGGAAGCGACCUAGGCUGCCAGCCUCCCGGCGGGUCUUUGGUCCCAGCUCUGAUGACCUGUCAGCAGCCGCAGGACCUGCGCUUAAAGGCGCCUCUCCAGGCCUGGCUCAGGGUGGGGCUCCUCGUGCUCAGCACCCUGGUCAAGGUUAGGGCUGGGUGUGCGCUGGAGGCUUGGAGUGCCAGGGCACCCAGUGAAGAGCGAAUGAAUGAACGAGUGAACACCGGACUGGGGGCCUGCAGACGGUUCUUCGCAGGUUAAUUAGAAGGCCUCUAGCAAGCUGCAGCGGAGGCAUUUCAGGCAUCCUUCAGAGAGGACCCUCGGCCUGGCUCCUAAGGGCCCCUGGUCUGGCUCUCACCCCCUGCUCUGGUGGCAUUUCUGCUCACUCAGCCUUUACCCUUUACACGCCAGCCGCUCUGAACAGUUUAUUCUUCUGGGAGCACAUCAUGUUCUUGCUCACAUCCAGGUUUUGCGUAAGCUGUUCCUGCUGCAAGGAAAACCCUUCCUGUGUCCUCCUCAGGUGAGAGCUCCCGCAGGCAGCUUCUCCCCGGAGUCUGGCGUAAGUGUUCCUCCUCUGCACGCCUCUGAGGACAUUUGCAAAGGUCUGUCAUAGGGCUUACCACCCCGUUACCUGUUUGUUUCCACCAGGGAGUGCGCUGAAGCUGAGAGGGAAUGAGUGAGUGAAUGAAGGGCUUGAGAAAGGAAAUUUCUUCACCCUCCAGUGCCCUCUGGGCAACUCCUGUGCAUCUGUAGGUACCAUUGUGAGGUUACUGCCCUGGACUGGGGAGAGAUCCACACACGCAAGAGUGCAUCUGGCAUCACUCUCUUCCUGUCAACCCUGGCAUUGCCUUUGUUGGCUACUGAGAGAAGACCAGAAAUAUCCAUCUAGUCAGACUUGCCUGCUCCUGGGAAGAAAACAAAAAUGCAAAGAAAAGGUUCUCAGGGAGAUUGAGCCAACCUGGGAGUGGCCCUCAGCUCCUCCAGUCCCCAGAGACCCAUGCUCUGCAGCAUCCAAGGGGCUCCUGUGAAACUGUUGGGAGGCCAAUGACACUCUGUCCCACGUUGUGGAUCUAUUUUGUGGUCUCUGUAUCCUUCACUGCUUUUUGUGGACAUUAUUGUAUUAGAUUCCUUUGGAAAUGAUGAUCCAGCUAAUGGCCAGUUAGUAGGAAACAUCACGACCCUCCCCCCAAAUUCCAGCCUCUUGCUGAAAGGGUGGGGCCUGGGAAAUCAUAUGGUAUUGCUCCUGGUCACCACAGACCAGUGGUGGCUUUGGGCCAAAUUCUGGCCCAGCCAAUCCCCCCCACCUUUUUUUUUUUUUGAGAGAGAGAAUUUGAGGUAAGAGACACAGAGACUCAGGUUAGGAGGAUGCUUGAACUGAAAGGUCCUGAGACAGCAGGACAGGAGCUAGUACCAUGCAGAACACAGCAGGAGCCACAGGCAAGCCUGAACUGUGGGAGAGAGAAAACGAAGGGCCUUCCAGAGAGGUCCAGUCUGCCAAGAGGAGAAGAGAGUUGACACGCAGAAAGAGUUAGGGGUGACAAGAACCCCCGUAGCCCCUUGAAGGACACAGAGAGGAGAUCUUUUUUGUUCUUUUGUGAUUCAUCCUUUCUCACUUCCUGUCCUUGGAGGUCAACAACAGACCCCUGUAUCCUUUUAAUAAUCCCUCUUUUCAUUUGAAAUUGUUCCAGAGGGUACCUGAUCCUUGUUGCCAGCAUGCCCUGAAUAAGAAAAAUGCUCAAACCAAACACUGAGUCUACUGAGUCUAUGUGAAUUAAUUCUUGGAAUUCCUUGGCUCAAUUCAAUAAACAUUUCAUGCACAAUUUUUGUGUGCCAGGUGCUAGAGGCAUUCUGAGAAAAACUGAGACCCAGGAGCUGUCCUCAGAGAGUCCAGUAAGAUGUGGUCUGAUAAGACAUGUUUCCAUAUACCCAGAAUACAAGGUAGUUUGCUAGGAGCACUGCAAGAGAAACGCAGAUGGAAGGCUGGAGUGUGUACUGCCACUGUGGAAGCAGGAGGGGCUUGAGGGAAGAGGGCCUUCAAGAAUGGGUGGAAUCUAAUAUUGGAAAGGGGAGGAAGAGUGGAAAGUAUAAGAAUCAGAAGUCUGGUUGCAGGAUGGGGCAUGAUAUGGGUGGGACACUGUAAACUGCACAGCGUGGAAGGAAUAUGGAGUUUAGAGGAAUAAUGUUAGAUGAGUCUGUAAGACGGGCUUGACUGGGAUUAUGAAGGGCCUUAAAGGUCAAGCCAAAUUUGUUAUCAUAGAAUCAUAAGAAGGAGAAGAGCCUUAGCUGUUGUCUAGUCUAACUUAGGUAAUUUGGUUCCAGUUCCUCUUAAGGUGGCCACCAUGACAGACUGAAUCUCAAGUACUCAUCUGAGAUACAGUCAUUUCAAUGGUAGUGACUCAGAAUUUACUUUUCUUUUUUUUUACCCCAGCAAAAUAUUUAUUUUAGAAAAUAGGAUUAUAUUAUUUGUUGCUCUCCAACUUGCUUUUUUUGGACAUCUUGGACAUCUUUCUCUACCAGUACAUAUAGUUCCAUUUCCUUCUUUUUAUUUUAUUUACUUUAUUAUUUUUGUAGAGAUGAGGUCUUGCCAUGUUGCCUAGGCUGGUCUGGAACUCCUGGGCUCAAGAGAUCCACUCACCUUGGCCUCCCAAAGUGCUAGGAUUACAGGCGUGAGCCACUGCAGAUAUUUUUAUUUUUUAUUUUCAUUUAUUUCAAUAGUUUUUGGGGAGCACGUGGUUAUUUGAUUACAUGGAUAAGUUCUUUAGUGGUGAUUACCGAGAUUUUGGUGCACCCAUCACCCAAGCAGUGUACACUGUACCCAAUGAGUAGUCUUUUAUCCCUCGUCCUCCUUCCCCGCUCCCCUCACGUCCCCAAAGUACAUUGUAUCUUAUGCCUUUGCAUCCUCAUGAGAUUACUUUUCUAUCUUUAACAACUUAAGAGUUCUUUCCAGAAGAGUCCUCUUACUACGAGGAAGAGUGUUAGAGCACAGGGAACUGGGCCUAGAGAGUCUGCAGCAAAUUGUCUCAAAUAGCAGCUUAAAAAGGUGAGAAAACAGGAGCUGUAGGGAGGAGUCGGACAGGUCCCCAGGCCCAGCAACUAUACCAGGUGAGGCAGGAAUGUGGCCUCGUGUUGACCAGAUUCCACAGCCACGGGCUUCCAUCCCUCUUCUCUGCUUGCUUUAAGACUAACCACCCUGGCUUCAA